rnacentral:tRNA from 1 species
GCUGGAGUGGUGAAAUUGGUAUACACAUAGUGUUCAGAACGCUACGAGCGUAAGCUUAUGCGGGUUCAAGUCCCGCCCUCCAGCACAA